AGUGAACGCUGGCGGUAGGCCUGACACAUGCAAGUCGAACGGCAGCACAGUAAGAGCUUGCUCUUACGGGUGGCGAGUGGCGGACGGGUGAGGAAUACAUCGGAAUCUACUUUUUCGUGGGGGAUAACGUAGGGAAACUUACGCUAAUACCGCGUACGACCUACGGGUGAAAGCAGGGGAUCUUCGGACCUUGCGCGAUUGAAUGAGCCGAUGUCGGAUUAGCUAGUUGGCGGGGUAAAGGCCCACCAAGGCGACGAUCCGUAGCUGGUCUGAGAGGAUGAUCAGCCACACUGGAACUGAGACACGGUCCAGACUCCUACGGGAGGCAGCAGUGGGGAAUAUUGGACAAUGGGCGCAAGCCUGAUCCAGCCAUACCGCGUGGGUGAAGAAGGCCUUCGGGUUGUAAAGCCCUUUUGUUGGGAAAGAAAAGCAGCAGGUUAAUACCCCGCUGUUCUGACGGUACCCAAAGAAUAAGCACCGGCUAACUUCGUG
rnacentral:rRNA from 1 species